rnacentral:misc_RNA from 1 species
GAUGAAGAACGCAGCGAAAUGCGAUACGUAAUGUGAAUUGCAGAAUUCAGUGAAUCAUCGAGUCUUUGAACGCACAUUGCGCCCCCUGGUAUUCCGGGGGGCAUGCCUGUCCGAGCGUCAUUGCUGCCCUCAAGCACGGCUUGUGUGUUAGGCCCCGUCCUCCGAUCCCGGGGGACGGGCCCGAAAGGCAGCGGCGGCACCGCGUCCGGUCCUCGAGCGUAUGGGGCUUUGUCACCCGCUCUGUAGGCCCGGCCGGCGCUUGCCGAUCAACCCAAAUUUUUAUCCAGGUUGACCUCGGAUCAGGUAGGGAUACCCGCUGAACUUAAGCAUAUCAAUAAGCGGAGGA